GUUGCUCAUUGAGAACCACUGACUACUUCUGUCCAGUGUCCUUUGAGAGUGGAGGCAGGAAAGCCCGGCAUGGGGGUGCAUGAUCUGUGGCAGAUCUUGGAGCCUGUCAAGCGGCAUAGCCAUCUCCGCAGCCUCCAGGGGAAAACCCUGGCAGUGGAUCUGAGCGUCUGGGUGUGCGAAGCCCUUACGGUCAGAAAGAUGGCGGGCACUGUGGCCAGGCCUCAUCUCAGGAACUUGUUUUUUCGGAUCUCGUCCCUGACCCGGAUGGGGGUAAAACUGCUCUUUGUCAUGGAGGGCGACGCUCCCGGACUGAAAGCAGAUGUCAUGAGCAAGAGGAACGAGGCGAGGUACGGGCCCCCCCAGAGCCGGGCGCACAGACCCACGAGAUCCUCUUUCAGAGCCAUCCUAAAAGAGUGCCUCGACAUGUUGGCGUGCUUGGGCAUUCCCUGGGUCCAAGCAGCGGGGGAGGCCGAGGCCAUGUGUGCUUACCUCGAUGCCCACGGCUACGUGGACGGGUGCCUCACCAACGACGGAGACGCCUUCCUGUACGGGGCGCAGACCGUGUAUCGCAACUUCACUCUGAACGCCAAGGUGAGCUUCUCCCUCCCCCUCUCUCUUUCACCUCGAGCUUUGGCCGGGACGCCUGCCGCGGGCUUGGACUGGUUUUAUCGGGGUCUGGAUUUCCACUUUGUCUCGGCUUCCAAGGCAGUGUGUGGGCUGGCUAGCGCCAACUGCAGAGCCAGAGGCCCCUGGAAGCCGGGCCUGCCUUGUGCACGGCCCUGGGACGUCCCUUGUCAAAACCCCGGGAGGUCCUCUGAGCCCCCAAGUGCAGAGGAGGCGCCUCCCCCUCCUGAGAGGGAGCGUCCCUGGGGCCUUCUCUGGGGCCUUGCGCCACUCCCUGCAGUCUGCAUGGAAGUGCAGACACGUCUUCAGUCGUCACCGAGAUAGCGGCCAGAAGAGGGCGCCUCCGGCGAUUCUGAGUCCUGAAGUGGCCGCCGUGUCCGGAAAGGACUUGACCUGGCAGCGAGAGGCCGGCGUCCCCCAGCGGAACGAAGAGGAACGCGUGGGUGCUGUUUGGCACCCGACUCUGAAAUCUGUCCGCAGAGCCCAGCCGAGGUCAUCUGCCACGCGGGCUCUGGGGACCCCUCGUCACGCUCCCACUGACUCUCUUUUAGGACCCCCACGUGGAUUGCUACACGAUGGCCUCCAUUACGAGUGAGCUGGGCUUGGACCGAGACUCCCUGAUUGGCCUGGCCGUGCUGCUGGGCUGUGACUACCUUCCCAAGGUAAGCAGCCCGCUUUGGUCUUUGGUGCCUAACCCUCUCUCACUUUCCUGGCCCAUGGCACCCUGGCCCAGGGGCUCCCCCCUCCCCCUGCCCAUCACACACUGGCCCAGGGCUCCCCCCCUGCCCAUGGCACACUGGCCCAGGGGCUCCCCCCUCCCCCUGCCCAUCACACACUAGCCCAGGGGCUCCCCCCUCCCCCUGCCCAUCACACACUAGCCCAGGGGCUCCCCCCUCCCCCUGCCCAUCACACACUAGACCAGGGGCUCCCCCCCUGCCCAUGGCACACUGGCCCCCCAAGGGGUUCCCAACAGAGUGGGG
ensembl:lncRNA